rnacentral:rRNA from 1 species
CACCAGACUCCUACGGGAGGCAGCAGUGAGGAAUAUUGGUCAAUGGGCGAGAGCCUGAACCAGCCAAGUCGCGUGAGGGAGUACUGCCCUAUGGGUUGUAAACCUCUUUUGUCGGGGAGCAAAAGCCGGACGUGUCCGGCUGUGAGAGUACCCGAAGAAAAAGCAUCGGCUAACUACGUGCCAGCAGCCGCGGUAAUACGUAGGUGGCAAGCGUUGUCCGGAAUUACUGGGUGUAAAGGGAGCGUAGGCGGUUAUGCAAGUUGAAUGUGAAAUCUAUCGGCUCAACUGAUAGGCUGCGUUCAAAACUGUAUAUCUUGAGUGAAGUAGAGGCAGGCGGAAUUCCUAGUGUAGCGGUGAAAUGCGUAAAUAUUAGGAGGAACACCAGUGGCGAAGGCGGCCUGCUGGGCUUUAACUGACGCUGAGGCUCGAAAGCGUGGGUAGCAAGCAGGAUUAGAUACCCUCGUAA